rnacentral:lncRNA from 1 species
AGAUUAGUGAGUUGUCCUAAGACUUUUUGUUCUGAGCUCCAUUGAAUAAAAGAUGAGAACAAAAUGAUAAUAAUAAUAAUUAUAAUAAACUCUCAUUUCUGAUACUCUUUAAGGUUUACAAAGCAUUUUCUGUACAACAAUCAUGUGUGACAUGGUAGUCCAAGUAUUCCUGUUUUACAGAUUUGGAAACUGAGGCCAGGAGAGAGCCAAUAACUUAAAACGAGGCAUACCCACAUCGUUCAUCACUUUCCCCUUCCUACCAUUUUUUUACAGAGGAAUGAGGCUGUUAAUAUCAAAGCAAGAACUGGGGAGUUCAUCCAUAGUGAAAUGGGAGCUGGAGAAGGCACAAAUACAGAUUGGCCCAUCCCUGCAGCUCUUUUUCUUCCAUUCCUAUGCUGGAGCUGUGCAGCUGCUAUACAGUUCAGCAGCUUCCUCUGGAAGCUCAGAGUAGGUUUUAUUUCCUCCACAGCAACCCAAGCCGUCUUUUCCUUUGCAAUAGAAGCUGCAGCACUGCCUCUUUGUGUGAACUUAGGCAAGUCACUUCAUUUUGCAAGGGUGUCAGUUACUCCAUCUGUAAAAUGGGAGGGGUUUGAUUACAUGACUUCUCAGAUCCUUUUUGGUUCUUACAUUCUGUCUUCAUACAUUUUAGGUUCUAAGGUUCUAUACUUACAUAAGGUAUAUGAUGUGGUCAUUUUCAGAGCAUAUCCCAUUACAACAGACUGAAUGGUGCUGUUCAAAUUGGAGAGGGAAGGAUGUUUUAAAUAGGUUUUUAUUGAUGACAUUUUUAAUAUCACCAUAAUUUCUCCAAGUAUCAUUCCUCUUCUCAGAGAGAUAUAUCCAUAUAACAAAUAGUGUUUAAAAUGUUUAGUACAGUGCUUAGGAGAGUAUCCAGUACACAGUAAGUGCUUAUAAAUGUUUGUUGACUGCCAAAAAAAGAAAGAGAAGAAAAAAAAAUCAGCAUAACUGGUUUUCCCGGAGUCUGUGGACCUCCCAUCUUUGUAAAGGGGUGGGGUAGAGCUGUCUUCUCAUAUCUCUUCUUUCAAGUCAUGCUUGUUCUUUUACAUUUUUUAACAUUCGCUUGGUGGUCAUUCUUUCCAUUUAUAUUGUUAUUGUGUAUAUUGUUUCCCUGACUGUUUAUUCACUCUGUGUUAGAUCAUGGAGAUCUUUUCAUGCUUCCAUAUGUUCAUUGCAGUUGUCUUUUCUUACAAAACAGUAAUAUUCCAGUGCCUUCAUGUACCACAAUUUAAUUAACCAAUCUCCAACUGAUGGACAUCUAUUUUGUUUUCAAUUCUUUGCAAAACUCUCUAGGUCAAAGGAUUAUGGACAUUUAAUCACUUUAUCUGCAUAAUUCAAAAUUGCUUUCCAAAAUGGUUGUACCAAAGCACAGCUCCACCAACAAUGCACCAGUGUGCCCACAACCCCUCCAUAUUGACUAUUCCUAUCUUUUGUCAUAUUUUUAGUUUUCAGGGAGUGAGGUGACACCUCAAGGUUGUUUUGAUUUUUGUGUUUCUCUCUCUCUCUCUUUUUUUUUUAGUGAGCUGGAACAUUCUUUCAUAUGGUUGUUAAUGGUUUGCAAUUCUUUUGACAACUGUUUUUUUUUUGUUUGUUUGUUUGGCAAUUGGGGUUAAGUGACUUGCCCAGGGUUACACAGCUAGUAAGUGUCAAGUGUUUGGUCUGAGGUCAGAUUUGAACUCAGGUCCUCCUGACUUCAGGGCCAGUGCUCUAUCCACUGCGUCACCGAUCCACCCCGAGAACUGUUUGUUCAUCAUGGAUGUGUCCUUUGGUCACUUAUCUAUUAACCAAUUGGUUGUUGUGCUUUGUUCUCGAAGAGGACCCAAAUGACAUCACUAUGCUAGAGUCAAGUUUCAAUGUGUCUGACUGUGGCUGAUCAGACCAACACAAGCUCGGAAUGCUCUACUGCAGGUCGGGCACGAAUAGCCCAUGUGAACAUUUGGGGUGGGUUUUGUUUUUGAGCUAGUUCAAUUCUGCUUUGCUUAUAGAGCACAGUACCUUCCUGAUGUGGGCACUUAUCUGUUGGGGAACAGCUUUUGGUCUUAAACAUAUCUGUUCAUUUUUUCUGCGUCUUGCUACAAAACCAUUAUCAGAGAAAGUUGGUAGAAAGAGUUUGUCCAAUCUGACCACUUUCCUUUUUAUUCUAGGCAUGAUCAUUUUGUUUGUGCAGAAGCUUUUCAGUUUUUUGGAAUCAAAGUUAUCUAUUUUAUCUUUUCUAAUUGAUUCGAUUAUUUGUUUUGUUCAAGUUCUUCUGUUAAACUGGAAAUUGGUUGUAUCAAAUACUCUAUCAAUAAAUGGGUAAUUGUCUGGAGCA